UACGGAGGGUGCGAGCGUUGUCCGGAAUCACUGGGCGUAAAGGGCGCGUAGGCGGCUCAUGAAGGCUGUGGUGAAAGUCCGGGGCUCAACCUCGGAUCGGCCGUGGCGACUCGUGGGCUGGAGCACUGUAGAGGCGGGUGGAGUUCCGGGUGUAGCGGUGGAAUGCGUAGAGAUCCGGAAGAACACCAGUGGCGAAGGCGGCCCGCUGGGCAGUGGCUGACGCUGAAGCGCGACAGCGUGGGGAGCAAACAGG
rnacentral:rRNA from 1 species